GGAGAACUCGGUCACCAAUUGUUUCGGGCGCUUCUGUGUGCCCUACCUCAUUUCACCCAACAAGGCUGAAGAGACUGAGUUCAGAGUGAUCUGGAUGGCACGUUGCGGAAAUAAUCUGACCGUCCUCGUCUUCUCUUCGAGCACCGGGGAAUGGCUAGCCGCCUCAUCGUCCCAGGACUGGAGGGAUAUAGCCGUUCUCAGUGACCCGUUCUAUUUUCUCAGGCCCCAUUUCGCAGGUGGCUGCAUCUACUGGGACUCGCCGUUGAACCAGAACAAGUUGCUCGUGCUGGACACUAGUACUAUGGAGCUCUCCAUUGCAGAUUUCCCACCUGGAGAAUGGGGCCAUUUAAAAUUAGCUAUUGUCGAUGCAGGGGAAGGCAGGUUUGGGAUGUUUAGCAUCCAUGAUGGAGAUGAAGGUGGUGAAUCUGUUCUUAAUUAUAUGGUUGGGCAAAACAAAGGUGAGAGUUCUGGCCAGCCGAAGAAAGUCUCACUAGGUUAUGGGCAUCGGUAUUAUUUCACAAACUAUGCAACACAGAAUUACUUGAUCCUAUUAAGGACGGAAGCUAGGCCGUACGUAGGCUUAUCACGGGCCCCAUCAAAGAUAGAAUUUGUCUCACUGGAUGUCAAGACAAUGCAGCUUGAGAGGAUGUUUAUUGAACCUUCCAUGUUUGGUGGUUCUAAAGCGCACAUAUAUACCAACUUCCCGCCGUCGUUAUUGUCUUCACCAACAAUAUGAACUGAGUGUAUGGAUCCGAGUCAUUGUCAGAUGAACAGGUUGCGAUCUCAGUCGCCUGGACCUGGCGUGUGCAGAUGUUGUCGCCUCCCCUACGAGAAGACGAUUUUAAUCUACAGUUGGCUGGCCGCCUCAUGUGUAUGUAGACGAUGUCGUUGUUCUUCCUCUCAUAUGUUGUAGUUGUCUGUAUCCGGGAUCCAGUUUGUGUAACAUGGAUCGAUCGUGUGGUUGUUCCCUGCUGAAACUAAGAGCGUGGCUCUGGAAUCUAAUCAGCAGUUUGUGAUGGAGUGUUUGUAAGACGAGGGUGCAAAACAUGGUACAGUUUUCAGAAGUUUGUUUUGGUUAUGACAGUGAGAUGAUUGUUGACA